GACGAACGCUGGCGGCGUGCUUAACACAUGCAAGUCGAACGGAAAGGCCCUGCUUUUGUGGGGUGCUCGAGUGGCGAACGGGUGAGUAACACGUGAGUAACCUGCCCUUGACUUUGGGAUAACUUCAGGAAACUGGGGCUAAUACCGGAUAGGAGCUCCUGCUGCAUGGUGGGGGUUGGAAAGUUUCGGCGGUUGGGGAUGGACUCGCGGCUUAUCAGCUUGUUGGUGGGGUAGUGGCUUACCAAGGCUUUGACGGGUAGCCGGCCUGAGAGGGUGACCGGCCACAUUGGGACUGAGAUACGGCCCAGACUGCUACGGGAGGCAGCAGUGGGGAAUAGUGCACAAUGGGCGGAAGCCUGAUGCAGCAACGCCGCGUGCGGGAUGACGGCCUUCGGGUUGUAAACCGCUUUCGCCUGUGACGAAGCGUGAGUGACGGUAAUGGGUAAAGAAGCAACGGCUAACUACGUG
rnacentral:rRNA from 1 species